AAGGGAUUACUAUUGCAAAAACGGUAAUUAGAUUACCGUUACUUUCCCGUAGGAACGCUGCGUUACUACGUUACUAAAACCGUGAUUUUUUUGCGAGAAUGUCUCAUGACAGUGACGUAAGCGAGCACGACGUUCGUGACAACAGCUGUGUGCAGAUCAACAAUGGAUCACAUAUCGAGUGCAGAGAGAGUAUGAGCGUGCAGCGUUUAAAGCGUGGAAGUACUGACCUUACUUUGAGUUUGAUUCCAUAAAAAGUGACAAAAACAUUAGUGUCCGCUGUGCGUGGGAAGAAAACUUCUUUUUACAGCGAAAAACCCCUAAACUUCCAACAAGCACCGAGUAGCUACGACGUAAUGGGAAACUCACAGAGAAACUCGCGGAUUCUUCCACUGACCGCGCCACACCUGCACCAGGGUAAACCUCCGCCUACCCUACUCCUGCUUUACAGGUGAAAAUAGAGCAACAGCACCGCUGAGUCUUUGACUUUAUUUAUUUUCUGCUGUGUUUUACUUGCAUCUAUUUGAAAGACUGAGUGUAAACACAACAAAUAUUUUAUUUUAUGUGCUGGAAUGUGCAGAAAAUAAGUUUAAAUAUUAAACUAAUUUAUUCAAGUCAGAGAAUGUUGCAUAUAAUUACAUGUUUGCUUGAUGCAUAAAGUUAAAAGAUUAAAACUGAUAAAACAAGUUUUAAAAAGAGAGACUUUUCCAUUUGAUUACAUUUUGUAUGAUGAUUAUGCAGAAAAAGUAGAAUUGGGCUGAAAGAUCUAUCACUUUAUCACCUCUUCAGGUUGUAAAUCGUGUUUUUUAAAAGUAACUAAGUAACUAAUUACUUUUUUGGGCGAGUAAUCGGUAAUUAGUUACUGAUUACUUUUUUCAAGUAACUUGACCAACACUGAUCACUACUUAGAAAUGGCUGUCUGUUAGCAUGGUUAUGUUUUUUAAAUAUCAGUAUAUUGUGAUUUAUACUGAUUUUUGUGUUAGAAAAGGGCUAACACCUCCCUCCAUCAGGGUCAUAGGGUACCUGGAGUACAGUGGCUACAUUGGUACUCCUGAAGUAAGCUUACAUAAGCCCUGAUGAAGGCCAUCAGAGUUGGCCUUCCUGAGGUGGAAUUUUAAGGAACAGUCAUGGGAUGGAACUCUGGUAGUUCUUAUGACAUCACAGCUAUUGCACAGUUACAGUGCAGGUUUAAAUGUUACAACUGAAACAUAUUUAUGACUUCAGCAACAAGCAGAUACACACACAGCUGAACUAGGACAUUUUCAUAGAGCAGUUUCUUUGAAAAAAAGGUGAGUUUUGGGGGAACUGCUUUAUAAGUGACACUUACUUUUAAUGCUGUAACUUUGAUAGCUGAUGGUAGAUAUUUACAGUGAGAUUUUUGAGCAUGCCCUACAGUACAGAUGGGAAAUGUACUGCUUAACUUGAAUAACUUAUGUCUUUGUGGGAUCUUUAAAGUUCAGAUGAUGGAACAAGGAGAUGGGGCCCAUGCUCAGCCUAAUGAGGAGCAACCACUCUUGGCUGAAGGUGGUAACUGGGGAGAUAUGGACAACGUCUUUGAAAAUGGUGUGGAACAUGUUAUAAUAUUUUUACCACGUGAAGUUGCGAGACUUUGGGAGCCAGAGCAGCUUAACAACAACAAUGAUCACAUCAAUCAGAAUAAUUUCUUCAACAUUCGUUUUGAAAUUGAUGACAGCAACUCUGAUGAUGGACAUGAUGACAAUAAUGCUGAUGAUGAAAAUGACCACAAUUAUUGCAAUUAUAAUAAUGAUGAUCAAAAUGCUGACAGCAGCAACGAUGAAGAGGAACGCAAUGAAGCUCAUCAAGAUGAAAGUGACCUUGCUGCUGCUGAGGUUGACUAUGAAGCCAACCCGGAUGAAGGAGAAGCAGCGGAGGAUCUGCUUCCUGGAGGAUUUAGGAGACAGUUUAGAGAGGAAGACAGUGAUGAUGAGAAAAGUAAUGCAAGCAAACAGUUCCACUGGUGGGAUGAAUUUGCUGACAGCGACUCUGAAGAACAAGACUCCCUACUUGAAGGCAAUAAAGAAAGCGAUGAGGGUGAUGAAGAUGAGAGGUGAAUCCAAAAGUGACAUGCCAACCGUCACUCAGAGUGACUGAAUGGAACCUCUUUAAUAAAAAUGCAUCUUCUACUCAGUUGUCUUUUGAUUAAAUGCGAGCACUGCAACACUCUUGUUUUUAAAAAGAUAUAAAACUGCUUUUGUAAAACCAAAUUACUCUUGCAGAAUAGACGUACCAAGGUAUGGUAGUAUUCUGAUUCUGAUAUUUAAACACAAUCAAUGUGCCAUCCUACAAAAACAACUUUACAACUUUUUUUGAUAAAAUCAAGGACUCAGCGGGCCUGUUGCUCUAUUUUCACCUGUAUAGCAGGCGGAUGUUUGCCCUGGUGCAGGUGUGCCGCAGCGGUCAGUGGAAGAAUCCGUGAGUUUGUCUGUGAAUUUCCCAUUACGUGUCGUAGCGUACUGGGCGCUUGCUAGUGAUGUGCGAUACCACUGAUUUCCUUUCCCAUCCGAUACCAAGUAAUAUUCAG
ensembl:lncRNA